AAGGGCGCACGGUGAAUGCCUGGGCACUAGAAGCCGAAGAAGGACGUGACGAACCACGAAAGGCUACGGAGAGCCGUAAGUAAGCUAAGACCCGUAGAUAUCCGAAUGGGGGAACCCGGUGCAGAGAUGCAUCAUUAAAUACUGUUAAGGUAUUU
rnacentral:sRNA from 1 species